rnacentral:miRNA from 1 species
AGGACUUAGCCCACAUGUGAAC